rnacentral:rRNA from 1 species
AGAGUUUGAUCCUGGCUCAGGACGAACGCUGGCGGCGUGCUUAACACAUGCAAGUCGAACGGUAAGGCCCUUUCGGGGGUACACGAGUGGCGAACGGGUGAGUAACACGUGAGUAACCUGCCCAUCACUUCGGGAUAACGCUAGGAAACUGGUGCUAAUACCGGAUAUGAGCUCUCAUCGCAUGGUGGGGGUUGGAAAGUUCUGGCGGUGGUGGAUGGACUCGCGUCCUAUCAGCUUGUUGGUGAGGUUGUGGCUCACCAAGGCGUCGACGGGUAGCCGGCCUGAGAGGGUGACCGGCCACAUUGGGACUGAGAUACGGCCCAGACUCCUACGGGAGGCAGCAGUGGGGAAUAUUGCACAAUGGGCGCAAGCCUGAUGCAGCAACGCCGCGUGCGGGAUGACGGCCUUCGGGUUGUAAACCGCUUUCACCAGGGACGAAGUGCCUUUCGGGGUGUGACGGUACCUGGAGAAGAAGCACCGGCUAACUACGUG